rnacentral:pre_miRNA from 1 species
UAAGCUCUGCAGACUGGCGGCCCCCAGACAGGGCUGGGUGAGUAUGUCUUUGAAAAGCUCACCCUCAAGCAUGACUAGGAGC